rnacentral:lncRNA from 1 species
CUUCCCGAGUUUUCGGGUUCUCCUGCUUCUGGAGAAUUUUCAAAUUUUUAUAGCUCUUCUCCUCUUCUCAGAUCUCUGAGAGUUCAAGCACUUGAAAAAUUGAACCCCAUGGACAUAAAACGUCUCUCAUUCCACAUGCCUUCAAACCUGGAAAUUCUAGACGGCAGCAGUUUGAAACGAAAGGACAGAGUGGAUGAUGAAACAAUGACAGAAGUGGAAGCAAAGCGCAAGCCAUUGUUCGAAAGGAGCAAUUCAGAAGAAAGCAGCAAUUGUGAGGAACUGAUGUUUGAAAUAGAAGCAAGCAGUAAUUGUGAUGUGAAAAAAGCUGCUGACCUUGAGGAUCACAGCGAUUACAGCCUCAAACGUGGAAUGCCACAGAUUGCAGCAGCUGAGACCACUCCAGUGAUAGCUGAAGCCAUAACGCCACCAGCUGCAUUGUCAGUCAAUGCAUCACCAGUUCCACCAGCACAGCCUCA